ensembl:lncRNA
UUCCACACCCGUGUGCCCCUGGGUCUACCUCGAUAUCCUCUGCAUCUCCUUGGGGCAUGGUAGACUGAGAUAGGAGAGGAAGAUGGUAGCACUGCCUGACAUCAAACCUGUCUCAGGCAGGUACUACAUUUGGGUUCACUCUGCCCUCAACUAGAGGCAACACAGAUAGCAGGGUAAUCAGAGACUUCCAGGCAUCAGAGACUGUAUUACAGAGCAGGGGUAGAGAAUCAUGCUACCUUUUAACUCACUUCCUAAUAGGAGAGGGACAGAACAUAAAGUACUGACAGCAGAAAAUCUAAGCUGAGAAAGUUAAUAAGAAACAUCACAUGCCCUGAAGACUCUGCCAGACUUGUAGAACUGGGCAGAACCCAAACAUCUUCUUACAAGCACUCACUGAAGCUACCUCAAGGAACUAUCCAGUUUUGAGAGUAACAAACACAAGAUGAUCACAGCCAGCACAGAUAUCAGCACAACACCUUGCACUUCCCUAGGAGACAACACUUGCUCCUUCAGAUAUGUCUGGUCCUACCAAAAAUGGCUGAACCCAAUUCAAGAAAAAUAAUACCAUAUCUUUCCUGGAUAGCACUGUGGAUAUCUUUUUUCCUCCAGUACAGCCAAUAAUAUGUUCAAGACACAAUUCUUUGUGCUGACCUUCCAUCAAACGCUUAUCUAGUUUGCUCAGCAAAGCAGAAAACCCAUUUGUUUGGUUCCAACAAGUCAGUGUAAAGUUUUCCACUUCCACACCAGUAAUAUGAAAGAGGCAGGCAAAUAGAACUUUCCCUAAAGUAAAAAUUAGCUAGUUUUUGUAGAAGUUGUUUUCAAGCAGACCCUUGUAUUAAACGUGCUUUAGUGAUAUUGGCAUGUAACCCCUUGUUAUUAAUAGGCACAGGAUACAGAUACCUUUUUUCAUGCUCUUAUGCCUCCCUGCAGCAUUUAGCUCCUUCUGUUCUCCAGGCUGAACAGCCCCAGCUCUCUCAGCCUGUCCUCGUAGGAGAGGUGUUCCAUCCCUUAGCUCAUUUUUGUGGCCCUCCUCUGGACAUGCUUCAAGAGCUACAUGUUUCUCCUGUACUGAGGACUCCACAUCUGGACGCAGUACUCCAGGUGAGGCCUCACCAGUGCAGAGCACAGGGGCAGGAUCACCUUCCUCACCCUGCUGGCCACGCUUCUUUAGAUGCAGCUUUGGAUACAGUAGGCUUUGCAGGCUGCAAGCUUACCAUCCACCAGUAUCCCAAAGUCCUUUUUGGCAAGGCUGUGCUCAAUCCUUUCAUCCCCCAAUAUAAUACAUGUCCAUAUACCUGUGAGUUCACAUGCUGCAAUGUGUUACUGUCAGAAAGGGGUAAUUAUUUAUAACCUGCAAAUGAAACGUUCAAAACGGUGGUAGUCUGAAUGAGAUCUCAGAGCUCUUGUUACGCAGGUAAUGCAGAUUUCUGGUGUUUAUUCUCCCUUGGACAGAAACCACAUAGCCAACUCUAUGCUGCAGGUGAGAGGGUGAGUUUAGGGCUGAUUGAUCUGGGCACUAUAAAAUACAUUUGUGGAAAUACCCUUGACAGCAUGAACUCCUACCUAAUGCUUUCCUUGGAGGUUUAUGGCUUGCACAUGAAAAACUGCAAAUCCCUCCCAAAGGCAUUUUUGGUCGAAUUCUUGGAGAACACCUAGAAAAUCAAGAAUCAGACCAUCUUAAUGAGAUCCUGCACAGUCGCACAGCCUGCCUCUUCAAAAAGGUGGCUCUGCUCAGAACAACCCUUACUGCCUCAGCUUGGGGUGUUUAAAUAUCCAGUUAAUAAAAAUUAUCUGCCAAGCAGCCCUUCAAACUACCCGGUGAAAUAUUCCUACCCUGAUAGAAACUCACGAAAAUUUAGAUUGUGUUUUUUCAAGCAUUAUCACCUUCCAAAUAGCCCAGGAGAGAAAAGGAGAGGUUAUUCAAUACAUCCCUAAUGACCACGGAAAUCUGUCUGGUAAAGCAAACACAGAGGUCUGAAACCACCAUAUUUGGCUCCUGAACAGCAUGGUGACUACUAGAUAAAAAAUGCAGAUAAAUACAACACACAUAAUGAGGCUGAUGCUGAACACAGAGAUCCGGACGGGUGCAGGGCUCAGGCUGCAAGUGAGAGAUGCAAAGGACCAAGCUCUUUCCUUGCAUAGACUGAGUGAAAGAUGUUCAGGGAGGAGUGAGGGCAGAUAACCAACAUCUGGAGUUCCUCCAGUCCAAGAAUAAACA